AGCAUUAAAGAAAACCCAAUCGGGGCAGGCGGGAAGCACUCCAGCCUCCUUGCAAGCUUGGGGCGCCUCAUUCUCUCCCGUGCCCCUUCUCCCAGCUGGGUCUGAGCCCCCGCCCCCCUGGCUCCUCCGUUCUGCUUCUCCCAGCUUCUCUGUCCAUCUCCCCCAAUGGCCUCUCUCUACACUCUCUGCCUCAGCUUCCAGGUCUCUGCUGGUCCCUAGGAAGCACUUUGACCUCUGCUUCCCCUUCAAAUGCUGUGGAUCAAGCCUCCCCAACCCCACCAUCCCACCAAAGGGGGCUGCUGACCGAGAGAGCUCACUCAGCCAGCUGCUCCCUCUACCUGGAAACCUCCAUUUGUCAAGCUGCUGCUGUCUUCAAGAUCUACCUGGUCAGAAUCUCCUGCUGUCCUCUUCUGCCACCCACAGCAAUGUGAGCCUUCACUGGCUGGCCUUCCCUACUCACUGGAGCAGAGCUACGGCAUCAGAAUGCCCUGGAGCAGGGGUUAGAAACACAGAUUUCUGAGUCUACACUCGAAGAUUUUUUUUUCUUUCUUUCUUUUUUUUUGUUUUCCAAUUUUUCUAAUUUUAGAGAUGGGGUCUCACCACGUUGCCCAGGCUGGUCUCAAGCUCCUGGACUCAGGUCAUCCUACCACCUAGGCCUUCUAAAGUGUUAGGAUGAGCCCUGAACCUUGUAACAUGAACAUUUAUUAGUUAUAUCUGGAAAAAAAUAUAAAGUUAUUUUUAUUUGGGUGAUACUGCCUUCAAAAAACAAAAACAAAAAAAAACAGGAGGCCGAGCACAGUGGCUCAUGCCUGUAAUCCCAGUGCUUUGGGAGGCUGAGGCAGGCGGAUCACUUGAGACCAGGAGUUCAAGACCAGCCUGGCCAACAUAGUGAAACCCCGCUUCUAUUAAAAAUACAAAAAUGGGCCAGGCACGGUGGCUCAUACCUGUAAUCCCAGCACUUUGGGAGGCCGAGGCGAGUGAAUCACGAGGUCAAGAGAUCAAGACCAUCCUGGUAAACAUGGAGAAACCCUGUCUCUACUAAAAAUACAAAAAUUAGCUGGGCACGGUGUCACGUGCCUGUAGUCCCAGCUACUAGAGAAGCUGAGUCAGCGGAAUCGCUUGAACCCAGGAGGUAGAGGUUGCAGUGAGCUGAGAUUGCACCACUGCACUCCAGCCUGGGCGACAGAGUGAGACUCUGUCUCAAAAAAAAAAAAAAAAAAAUUAGCCAAGUGUGGUGGCACAUGCCUGUAAUCCCAAUUACUCGGGAGGCUGAGGCAGAAGAAUUGCUUGAACCUGGGAGGUGGAGGUUUCAGUGAGCCAAGAUCGCACCACUGCCCUCCAGCCUGGGCAAUAGAGCAAGACUCCAUCUCACAAAAUAAAAAGCCAAAAAAAGCUCUCGACAGUUCUGUUCCCCGCCUGAGGUGUUUGUCUCAGGAUCCCGGCCUGGCUGUGGGCCACAGAUGGCAAAAACCAAGGUCCGUCUAUUACUGGGCAUCCAGGGUUUCAUAAUCUCUACGACCUCCAUGCCUGGAACUCCACACAUUGCGCAUGCCCCAGAAACGCUUGCCCAACGGACCCCAAUCCACCAUUUCUGAAUGCAUUUUUCAUGACUUGCUGAAUGUGUCUUGUUAAUCCAAUUAGAUUGUAAACUCCGGGAGUGCAGGGACAACGUUGACCUUCCUAUUACUCCCCUCACCCCCGCCCAGCUCUGGGCUGGGCACACAGUGACCCUCAAGGGUAGCACAAAGACUUGAGGCAAGAAAAACACCUGUAGAAGGAAAAGGCUGGAUACUGGGAGCGCCUCUGUCUGCUUUGCUGCCAUCCUCUUCUUCAACAACAAAGGACACGCUAAUUCUAUGCAGCAAAAGUUUCCAAACACGUUAGCCUAAGAAUUUCGAGUCAUGCAAAAAAUAAAUUCCCAGAGUCACAGGGUUAAAAAAAAUCAGAUUCCAGGGCCCCAUCCUUGUUGUUCCUGAGUCAGACUCCCCAGUCAAACUGCCAGAGAACCUCGUCUUUGAACAAACACUUCAGGCAACUUUCCCAGGAUAAAGCAAGUUUCAGAAACUCUCACACAGCUUCUUAGGUAUCUCAGAUAUGGCUCUUGCCCUCCAGAUGUUUACAAAUGAAAACAAGAAAUCUGGUUCCAACAAGCAAAAGCCCAGAGAGACCUCAAACACAAAGAUGCAAAUCAAAAUUAGUAGAGAAAUAAAUGAGCCGGGACGUUGUACUUCGGUCGCGGGGCUGGCUGAGGUCACUACCUGCACAGCCGACUGUUGGAAGUUCUGCGGUAUACCAGCUGAAUGGCCUUGAACAAGUCCCAUCUCCACUCGGAGCCUCCGUUUCCGCAUCUGUAGAAUGGGGAUAUGUGGGCCUAACUCACAGCGUUGUGAGAAUUCAACAAGAACACAUCAAGCAGCUGUGAAUGUAGCAAGCCGGCAUUUGAUUAAAUGUUAGUUUUCGUCCUAAGAAAAAUAGCUAAUAUUUCUGAGCACUUACGGCCGAGCCCUGAGCUAACAUUUACUUCCUCCUUUAACUCCCACAACAACCCAAUGAGGUAGGAUCUAUUAUUAUCCCCAUUUCACAGAUGCGGAAAUUAAGACACAGAAAGGUUAAAAAAAAAACACGCACAGGCCAGGCGUGGUGGAUCACCCCCUGUAAUCUCAGCACUUUGGGAGGUGGAGCCUGGAGGAUCGCUUGAGGCCAGGAGUUUGAGACUAGCCUGGGCAACAUAGCAAGACCCUGUCUCUAUAAAAAAAAAUUUAAAGCUGAGUGCAGUGGCUCACGCCUGUAACCCCAACACUUUGAGAGGCUGAGGCAGGUGAACUCUUGAGCCCAGGAAUUCAAGACCAAACUGGGCAGCAUAGUGAGACCCUGUCUCUUAAAAAAAAAAAAAUCAGCUGGGCGUGGUGGUGCAUGCCUGUGAUCCCAACUACUCGGGAGGCUGAGGUGGGAGGAUCGCUUGAGCCCAGGAGUUUGAGGUCUCAGUGAGCUAUGAUUGUGCCAUUGCGCUCCAGCCUGCACAACAGAGAAAGGUCUGUCUUAAAAAAAAAAAAAAAAAGAAAAGAAAGAAAAGAAAAAAGAACCCAACGUCUCCCAACCAGGAAAUGGCAGAGCUGGGAUUAGAGCCUAGAAAACCUAUCCUGUAGCCCCAGGAGGAAAUAGCCUCACGGGAGCAAAACCACCAGGUGUUUAGGACUCAUGAAAAUUAUACAUUGGCUUCUUUGGGAAAAGUGGCCCAUUCAGCUGAGCAGGACCCAAAAUAGCAAAAGGGCCAAGGACAGCCCGCCUGCCCUAGGUGUGGCCCCAGCCAGGAUUCCUAGCCCUGCGAGUUUUCCCAGAUUGGCCAACACACGUCUGAACCCCUGGGAUCAGGAAGUGCCAAUGCCUGGGUCUUGCUAAAGCCAUUUACCGUCGACAGAUAUCCCACCGAUGGCCAAGUGCCAGUUAGUCACGGCCUCAGUGCAGCACCUCAUCCCUCCCAGAAAGCCAUGGCUCUGGACUCCACCCACUGAAAACAGGGCUUUUGUGGGAAUACAAUGGGACAAGAAGAAAAACAUGCUGAACCUGAUCUCCAUGGGACCUGAUGUGGAGUCACGUUCAUUCACAUCACUGGCUUGCAGCCUCUCCACUCACAAGUUAUUGAUAAUCGAAAAAAUAAAACACCAUGCGAUCGUAUUUCUGGGCAGAUAGAAUGCAAGAGCCUGGGGCACUGGUUGUUUCUGGGGAGGGGAAGGGAACCGAGAGACCCAAGAAGAGGGUGGACAAGCUAGGCACGGUGGCUCACCCCUGUAAUCCCAGCAUUUUGGGAGGCCAAGGCAGGCAGACACUUGAGGUCAGGAGUUCGAGAUCACCCUGGCCAACAUGGUGAAACCCUGUCUCUACUAAAAACAUAAAAAUUAGCCAGGCGUGGUGGCAGGUGCCUAUAAUCGCAGCCACUCAGGAGUCUGAGGCAGGGGAAUCACUUGAACCUGGAGGCAGAGAUUGCAGUAACCGGAGAUCGUGCCAUUGCAUUCCAUCCUGGGCGACAGAGCGAAACUCCGUCUCAAAGAAAAAAAUAAAAGGACUAUGAGUGGGAGCAGAUGUAGGGAGAUGCAAGGGACGGAGUAUCAGGAGAACAGUACCUGUUCUGGGCUCUCCGCUAAUCAAACCCAACCACCAGGCAGAGGCAUGGGAGACCCCCACACACAGAGCAGGGUGGAGACAGGAGAAGCGAUCGCAGAAGAGGCCAGACCACCACCCAAUAGAUGUGGGUAACUAUUCAAAACUCAGAUCAUCUGAACAGAAAAAGGUAAAUGCUAUGAGCUAAAAACUUCAAGGUUCUUUGCAUCAGUGCCCUUUUUUUUUUUUCCUGAAGUUAUUUCAAGUUGGAUUUCUACCACUUGCAAACCAAAGAGUCUUGCCGAACAGAGACGGAAACAUGGAAGAUUUCAUUGAAGUGGAAACCUGGCAUUGUAAUUGCCCACUGCUUGUAAAAUUCAGGCCAGUGUGGUGGCUCACGCCUGUAAUCCCAACACUUCGGGAGGCUGAGGUGGGCAGAUCGCCUGAGCCCAGAAGUUCAAGACCAGCCUGGGCAACAUGGCAAGACCCUGUCUCUAUAAAAAAUUUUGGUUUAAAGCUAAGUGCAGUGGCUCACACCUGUAAUGCCAACUCUUUGGGAGGCUGAAGCAGGUUAAUUGCUUGAGCCCAGGAGGUCGAGACCAAACUGGGCAACAUAGUGAGACCCCAUCUCUAAAAAAAGAGAAGAAAAGAAAAUCAGCAGGGAGUGUUGGCACAUGCCAGUGGUCCCAGCUAUUCAGGAGGCCGAGGUGGAAGAAUCACCUGAACCCAGGAAGGUCAAGGCUGCAGCAAGCUGUGAUAGUGCCACUGCACUCCAGCCUGGACAACAGAGCAAGACCCUGUCUCAAAAUAAGUACAUAGGCUGGGCGAGGUGGCUCAUGCCUGUAAUCCUAGCACUUUGGGAGGUCGAGGCGGGCAGAUCAUUUGGGGUAAGGAGUUCGAGACCAGUUUGGCCAACACGGUGAAACCCCGUCUCUACUAAAAAUACAAAAAAAAUUAGCUGGGUGUGGUGGCACAUGCCUGUAAUCCCAGCUACUUGGGGAGGCUGAGGCAGAAGAAUUACUUGAACCUGGGAGACAGAGAUCGCGUCACUGCACUCCAGCCUGGUUGACAGUGCGAGACUCUCAAAAAAAAUUGGCCAGGCAUAGUGGCUCACGCCUGUAAUCCUAGCACUUUGGGAGGCCGAGGUGGGUGGAUCACCUGAGGUCAGGAGUUCGAGACCAGCCUGGCCAACGUGGCGAAACCCCGUCUCUACUAAAAAAUACAAAAAUUAGCUGGGCAUGGUGGCACAUGCCUGUAAUCCCAGCUACUUGCGAGGCUGAGGCUGGAGAAUCACUUGAACCUGGGAGGCAGAGGUUGCAGUGAGCUGAGAUCGCGCCACUGCACUACAGCCUGGGUGACAGAGUGAGACUCUGUCUCAAAAAAAAAAAAAAUCAAUUAAUUUAGCUUAAUUCAGCUGCUUCACCUUGGCCUACAAGGGGCUGGGCCACCCUGUCCAAUCCAUGAUCACCUUUUUCCACUGUCCACCUGCAGUGCACAGCAAGUCGCCUACAGCUCCUCCCAUACCCACAGCCCCUUCCUGCCUGGGACCUUCGCCCAUGCUGUUCCUCCUGCCUGAACCCCUCUCCUAGCUCUUCCUCCCAUCAGCACCUCAUUGUCAUCCCUUCCCUAUCCUGUGGUCUGAAUGUUUGUGUCCUCCCAAAGUUCAUAUGUGGAAUCCUAGCCCCCCAGGUGGUGGUAUUAAGAGGUGGGGACUUUGGGGGCAGGAUUAGUUCCCUUAUCAAAGAGGCCCAAGGGAGCUUGUUUGUCCCUUGCACCAGGUGAGGGCCCCGCAAGAAGGUGCCCUUGCUGGAGAUCCCAGACUCUAUGAGAAAUAUUGUUUAUAAGUAACCCAGUUUAUGUUUUUUUGGUUUUUUGGUUUUUUUUUUUCAAGGUGGAGUCUCGCUCUGUGGCCCAGGCAAUCUCGGCUCACUACAACCUCCGCCUCCCAGGUUCAGGCGAUUCUCCUUCCUCAGCCUUCUGAGUAGCUGGAAUUACAGGCACCCGCCACCAUACCCAUCUAAUUUUUGUAUUUUUAGUAGAGACGAGGUUUCACCAUGUUGGCCAGGCUGGUCUCGAACUCCUGGCCUCAAGCAAUCCUCCCGCCUCGGCCUCCCAAAGUGUUGGGAUUACAAGCAUGAGUCACCAUGCCUGGCCUAUGGUAUUUUUUUAUAGCAGCAGGAACAGACUAAGACAUCCUACUUCUCAGCUUAAACGUCACCUCUGCACAGAGCCCUUCGUGAUACAUCUGAACAGAUUCUUUUCUGUGACUCUCCAUCCCUGCACUGUAUUUGCUCUUUCAGGGUGCUUUUUCACAUUUGUGAGGGUGUAUGCAUCUCCUCUUCCAGGCUGUAAGCUUCAUAAAGUCUCUGUUUUGUUCAUAACUAGAACAAGCCCUAGCACCUAGCAGUGAGUGUUCAUUAAACAUAUGAAGAAUGA
rnacentral:lncRNA from 1 species